GUGCUGGGUCGGUGCCAAAGAUUGAAGCUCAAAGGUUGAUUGCAAGUUCAGAAUCUUCUGGGGAAGUCGAAGGCCCAGCGUCUGCAAAUCCACGAGUCCACUGGAGGCUGGAGCCUGGGGGCGGCCUCUCCUGGGACUUCUUGAAUGCCCAAGCUGGUGUGGUCGUUCAUUGAUUCUAUUAUGGUUAUUACUCUAUAAUGGAUUUAUUGAGUAUGCCUGCAAGAAAAUGAAUCUCAGCAAUGCAGCACAGUACCAGCCAACUACACCUACAUGAUCUACUAACCCGUACGUCUUUGGAAGUGAGAGAGGAAACUGGAGCACCCAGAGGAAACCCACGCAGUCACAGAGAGAACAAAAAACAAUUUACAGAGAGCGGUGGGGACUGAACCUGGAUAGCUGGAGAUGUCAUAGCAUUAUGCUGACCGUGGCAGUACUGGGCUGCCCUCAUAUAACCCCUUUCUCCCUGAUCCCUUCCCAUUCAACAGUCCUCUCCUUCCAGGAUCAAUACGAUGAAUCAUUGUUGUACGUUCUCAAAUUUAAUAUUUAUCCAACAACAUUGCCUCUGUACUGUUUCAGCAUAAAAGUCUGACAGAUUGCCUGUUGUAAAUAUCUUUUCCACUGGAUACUGGGAUUGAAAAAGCCCCAGCAACAAGAACUUUCUAUUGUAUCACAUUAGCUUCUUUGUGUACUGGAAUGUUGGGAAACAUAACAUUUAACAUUUGGAAGUGAUGGUGUUUUUCCAGAAGGAACUGCCCACAACAACCAGAUUGUUGGAAAACAGUCACCUCACGAGACAUCUUUGGAGCUAUUAACAAAUCAUUCCUUCUCGUAACCUUGUUGGUCCUUUCCUCGCCUUGUGGCGCAUUGGGAGGCAGUUUUGUCAUUUCCGGAGCAUUUGACUGUUUUUUCCCCAGGCUAAGUUGCCAGCUCGACACUCAUCCCAGCUCGGAUGGAAAGCAGGCAAGCAGCCGGCUAGAUUCAAACUCGGGACCAUUCAGCUCGAAGUCUGGUGCUGGUGCCACUGCACCACUGGCCAGCAUAUUCUAGUAACCUGGCCCACAUAGACUGAAAACAACAUUGAAAGUUGUGAGAAUCGUGAGACUGUGGGACGAACUGCCAGUGCUAGUGGUGCAUGUGAGCUCGAUUUUGACAUUUAAGAGAAGUUUGAAUAGGUAUAUGAAUGGGAGGAGUAUGGAGGGCUAUAGUCCCAGUACAGGUUGAUGGGACUAGGCAGUUUAGAUGGUUUGGCACAGACUAGAUGGGCCAAAGGGCCUGUUUCUGUGCUGCAGUUUUCUAUGACUCUACGACUCACCAAUCUAUGUGUGGGAGGAGCAUCUGCCCAUGCUGGCUUUGGCAGACAAGACCACCGUCUCGCCCUUUGGGUGGCAAAGUCCUCUGAUCACACAGCGGCCAUCCUCCAUCACGACGGGUAGAAUAUACUAAAUAGGAUAAACAGUCAACUCUUCGGGUUGAGACCCUUCAUCAGUCCCUGCUUGCAGGCUCGCCUCCAAGUCCAACAGCAUCCUCACUUGGAAAUAUACAGCACUCCCUUUUCUUCAUCGUCACCGGGAUCCAAACCCUGGAACUCCCUUCCCAAUAACAUUGGACAGCACCUUCACCAGGAAGACUCAAAAGGGUGGCACAGUAGCGUCGGGGUUAGCUCAACGCUUUAGAGUACCGGUGACCCAGGUUCAAUUCCUGCCCCUGUCUGAUAGGUAUUUGUAUGUUCUCCCCAUAAGCCAUGUGGGUGUCAUCUGGGUGCUCUGGUUUCCUCCCACAGUCCAAAGACACACUAGUUUGUAGGUUAACUUGAGGAAGGACAUUCCUGCUAUUGAGGGAGUGCAGCGUAGGUUCACAAGGUUAAUUCCCGGGAUGGCGAGACUGUCAUAUGUCAAAAGAUUGGAGCAACUGGGCUUGUAUACUCUGGAAUUUAGAAGGUUGAGAGGGGAUCUUAUUGAAACAUAUAUAAGGUUAUUAAAGGAUUGGACACGCUGGAGGCAGAAAGCAUGUUCCCGCUGAUGGGUGAGUCCAGAACCAGAGGCCACAGUUUAAGAAUUAGGGGUAGGCCAUUUAGAACGGAGUUGAGGAAAAACUUUUUCACCCAGAGAGUGAUGGAUAUAUGGAAUUCUCUGCCCCAGAAGGCUGUGGAGGCUAAGUCUCUGGAUGCUUUCAAGAAAGAGAUGGAUAGAGCUCUUAAAGAUAGCAAAAUCAAAGGUUAUGGGGAUAAAGCAGGAGCUGGAUACUGAUUGUGGAUGAUCAGCCAUGAUCACAGUGAAUGGCGGUGCUGGCUCGAAGGGCCGAAUGGCCUACUGCUGCACCUAUUGUCUAUUGUCUAUUAAUUGGUCCUUGUCAGUUGUCCCCUAAUUAGGCUUGGCUUAAAUCAGAGGUUGCUGGGCAACGUGGCUCGAAGGGCUGGAAGGACCCAUUCUGCCCUGUAUUUCUAAAUUAAAUAAAUAAAUAAAUGUGUUGGCGACGAAUGUUCCAGCCACCAAAGCAAGAUCCUCAAAAUUAACACACCCAAAAUUGUGUGUGCGUUGCUUUGGAUUUCCAGCAUCACCAGAUCUUCUCGUGUUUGGUGUCCUAAAAAUUAAUUUUAAAAAAUAAAGAAAGUUUUCCACCAUGUUCCAACCCUGAACACUCUUUUUCUUUCUCUGACAACC